AGGGGGCAAGCGUUGUCCGGAUUUAUUGGGCGUAAAGAGCGUGUAGGCGGUCAGGUAGGUCGGUUGUGAAAACUGGAGGCUCAACCUUCAGAGGUCGACCGAAACCCCCUGGCUAGAGUCCGGGAGAGGAGAGUGGAAUUCCUGGUGUAGCGGUGAAAUGCGCAGAUAUCAGGAAGAACACCCGUGGCGAAAGCGGCUCUCUGGAACGGUACUGACGCUGAGACGCGAAAGCGUGGGGAGCGAACAGG
rnacentral:rRNA from 1 species